rnacentral:lncRNA from 1 species
AAGAUUAUUCCUUUUAGGGAUCAGCUCAAAUUCUGCAACCUCAACCACCCCAGCCAUAAUUUGAUGCAAUCCCCUUUCACUCCCCAGCCAUCCAUUCAUUGCCAGUUGCCAGCACCCAGAACUGAAUUCCUUCCCUCAGAGGAAGGGAAGGGCAUCAAGAAAAGGUGAUGCCGAACUCGAAAAGAAUGAAGCAACAUUUGCCAGUAAAAUGAGGUUGGAGGAAUGAAAGAGACAGAGCCGGCCACUACCUCAUCUAGCAAAUAGAAGCCUACGGACACUUACUGAAGGACAACACAGCCACAAUCAAGAAAAAUAACAGGAAAAAUGACCCCACAGCUCCUAAUAAAUGCUAUAUUUCAGAGCCUGGGUUCAUUGCCACCCUUGCCCCUACCCGCCUUUGCUGGCUGUCAGUCAAAAAAACAAUAAAUAGUACACGAAAGUGGAUCCAAGGUGGAGAACAAUGAUUCGGAACUCUUGCCAGACCCGGAUGCAAAGGCACUUGGAGAG